rnacentral:lncRNA from 1 species
CCCAUUUCAAGAUCCUUAACUUAAUUACAUCUACAAAUCUCUUUAGUUAAAUAAAGUCACAUUCACCGUUUUCAGGGAUUAGGAUCUGGUUACUUUGGAGGCCACUAUUCAGCCUAAAAUAUAUAGUAAUACCACAAUAUUAGCAUUAAUUUUUCCCUUGGGUAUUUGAGAGAUAACCCUUGUUUUAUUUUAUAAUACUUUUAUAUGAUCCAUCUCACAAUGUAUAUUUUUGGUGAUGUGGCCCUGGGAUAAGCAGGAAAUAUAGUUGCAUUGGGAAAAUGGUUCUCCAGCAAGGUUUCUUUCCAUGUUGCUAUUCUCACUUUUAUAUCUUCCCACCAGAGAUAUGUACAAUAUGGUGAGCUUGUUUUUCUCAGCUAAGCAGAUGAGAUGGAGAGAUGGCUGUCCUAGGAACUGCAGUAUCUGUCCUGGAAUGAGAGACAAAGAGGACUCUCUUCAGUCUUCUCUCUUGUCCGAGGAAGACAUAUUUUCUCCUUUUUGGCUUUAGCUGAGCGAACGGUCUACAGUAAGACACAAAGUAUCAGUAUUUAUGGUAGAGAUGCCUGGAGGGAGGAUCCUCUGAUUAUUCUACAUGGCACCAAACUUUCUGAUCUUUGAAAAAUCUAAAGCACUUUGUUCAGGAGGCAUAGUUUUAACCCUGGUGGCCUAAACCACAAAUUCCAACUACUUAAUUACAUUCUGCCUAGAGUGUCCUUCCAAGUAUUCCAGAACACAGUGGUGGUUUUCAUUUCCUAUCUUAAGCUGCUCUGUAGUUGUUCUAUUGUUAUUAUUUAAAAUUCCUGAGAACAGACAGAUGCUCGUUUUGAAACAGGAAUAUACAUUUCCUAUUGAAUGAGCUAAUACUCUAAAAUCUGGUUGCCAUAUUCCAUCUCUAAAGUUGAAUAAUAAAAUGCAUUAGAGGAAACAUAAUAAAAGGAAACAGUGAAAGAAAAUAUUAUACAAGACAAGGCAUCUGUCCUGGUUAAAACCCAAACCAGUUAAUGCAGAGAAUAGGCCACUUGGUGACUUUGGGUCUGGCUAAUGUUCUCAUCUGGAACAAAAACAAUAAGACACUUGUACUGGUGCCGCAAAUGGACAGGCUUAUUAUUUUUCUAAUAAAAUGAGUUAAAUUUGUUUGAAGGGAGGAUCACAGAAGGAUGAGAAGUUUCCUUACAGCAAUAGCAUUCCAUUUAAAGUAACUCUGUUGUAUAUUAUAGCUCCUCAUUCUUCCCAUCUUUAGCUGUUUCAAAUCAUCUUACACAGCAUUCACAUUUUUAACAUUAUAAUUCACUCAUUGUUAGAGUCAUUUAACCAUUACAAAAUAAAUUUAAAAAAACAGAAUCAGAAAAUUUUGAGAGCGGGAGGGAGUCUAGCAAUGGUUUAUGAUUCAAAACCUCUCGCCUUUCUCUUCUGUUUCAGUGGAGGAGCUCUCUCUUCUUUGAAGACAGAUCCUUUUAACUGUGCUUUGAUACUCGACCCUCCACCAUGGUCACUACAACCUACAAAUUGGCUUCCUCUGCUGAUCUGAUAUUAAAGUGCUGGCUUUAAUAAGUUUCCACUUCAGUCUAAAAUAGAUAAUGUAAGAAACCAGAAAGCAGAGGCUGCCAAAGCUCACUGUUUCCUGAAACCAGAUUGCUAUUUUACUUCUUCCAUUGUGAGAAAACACAGGCCUGCAGAACCUGCCCCACCUCUUCCUCAGAGUCAAUUGCACCGUCUGUGAUCCAGUCACUUCACUGAGGAAGUGCUCUAUGUUGAGGGCUAUCAUCCAAUUUCACUUCUUACUUUAUUGUUUGCUUUUUUGUUUAAAUUUCAUUGCUUUCACAUCUGGCUGGUGCAGCUUUUAUGUGGUAUUAAAAGUAUGUGUCCAAAUAUGUGUCCCAGAUGAACAUCCUGUUUGCCUUUUGAUUUAAAUUUCUGUUUAGUAAACCUUUGUGGUUUGGAUACAGUGAGGAGUAUUUUCGGCAGAACUCCCUACCCACUUCCUCAAAAAUAAUGACUCCCCUGUCCAUUCCUCCCUUCCUUACGUCCUCUGCUAAAUUAAUACUGUCUAUCAGAUGCAUUCUUAGUGAUAUUCAAGAAUAUUACCUCCUCUCAUGGUGAUAAAAAUCUAUAUCUAAAACAUUACCGUUUCAGAAGCUCUUUCCACAAAAAGGCUAUUUUACAUGCUCUGUCAUUAGCAGCAAAUUGAAAAUGUACCCAUCAGGCCCUGGUAGAAAAAUAACCAGUUUUUGAAUUAUGAGAUAUUUGCUUCAUUCAGAGAAACAUAAACAAUGGCUUUUGAAAAAAUAGGUUAGCAACUGUAUUUUUUCUAGUCAAAAUCAGAAAAGAAAUAUGGUUAAGGUAUUUUAAAAAUAUUUCCUGCAAAUUGGUCACAGAAAUUCUAUCACAGAUGAAUAUAUUUACUUGACAUAUUGCAUAAAAUUAUUUUUUUAAAUAACUGUGGUUUAAGCCAAUUUUUUUGAAGCAAAAUCUUUGGUUGUUCUUGGCAUUUCUUAAUUUGCUUACUUGGGGGUAUUCUCCCCAAAUCCACACAUAUAAUUUUCAUUGCCUCUAAAAGGGGUUAUGAACACACAUCUGAAGGAGAAUUGACCACUUGUUUUUUGAUGUUUUAAAGCCAACUAAAGCAUAAACCUCUUGUUUCCUUUCUGAUCCCAGGCUUUUUCAAUAAGAACAAUGCUUAUGCAAGAUUUCCUAGGGGGAUUUUGUGGUUUGAGGUUUUAAUAAUCUAGGCUAAAAUUCAAAUAGGAACCACAGCUGCUUGGAUAAGACUCUUAGACCUUUUCAUUUGAACUGUAGUGAACUUACCAGAAUUUUUAACUAUUCUGAGCUCUAUCUGAUAUACAAGCAGGG